UACGUAGGGUCCGAGCGUUGUCCGGAAUUACUGGGCGUAAAGCGCGCGUAGGCGGCUUUGUAAGUUAGAGGUGAAAGCCCGGAGCUCAACUUCGGAAUUGCCUUUAAGACUGCAUCGCUUGAAUCAUGGAGAGGUCAGUGGAACUCCGAGUGUAGAGGUGAAAUUCGUAGAUAUUCGGAAGAACACCAGUGGCGAAGGCGACUGACUGGACAUGUAUUGACGCUGAGGUGCGAAAGCGUGGGGAGCAAACAGG
rnacentral:rRNA from 1 species